UACAGAGGUCUCAAGCGUUGUUCGGAUUCAUUGGGCGUAAAGGGUGCGUAGGCGGCGGUGCAAGUCCGAUGUGAAAUACCGGGGCUCAACCCCGGAACUGCAUUGGAUACUGCAUUGCUAGAGUACUGGAGAGGGAACUGGAAUUUACGGUGUAGCAGUGAAAUGCGUAGAGAUCGUAAGGAAGACCAGUGGCGAAGGCGAGUUCCUGGACAGUUACUGACGCUGAGGCGCGAAAGCGUGGGGAGCAAACAGG
rnacentral:rRNA from 1 species